AAGUUUAGAAAAAUAAUAAUAAAAUGGAGAAAAUGGAAAUUGUUGAUCCAAAGAAAUUAGCAUUGAGAAAAUACAGAAAAGGAAAUUUGAUGAUUAUGUCAGGUUUAGUUACUGCUGUUGGGGGAAUCUUUUUUUAUACCAUGUACAGUGUUUCUAAAGGAUCGUUUUCAAAAGAAGAAUUAAAUUCCAGAAGUAAAUAAGAGAUUUUUCCAAAAAGCGAAAAGGCAUUUGUGUAUAAUAUACAGAAAUAAAUUUGUUUGUGUA